AUUGAACGCUGGCGGCAUGCCUUACACAUGCAAGUCGAACGGCAGCACGGGAGCAAUCCUGGUGGCGAGUGGCGAACGGGUGAGUAAUAUAUCGGAACGAGCCCAGCAGUGGGGAAUAACUGCGAGUAAGAGCAUCUAAUACCGCAUACCACCUGUGGGCGCAAGGGGGCGAACGCAAGACCUCUCGCUAUUGGAGCUGCCGAUGUCAGAUUAGCUAGUUGGUGGGGUAAAGGCCUACCAAGGCAACGUGCUGUAGUGGGUGUGAGAGGACGACCAGCCACACUGGGACUGAGACACGGCCCAGACUCCUACGGGAGGCAGCAGUGGGGAAUUUUGGACAAUGGGAGCAAGCCUGAUCCAGCAAUGCCGCGUGCAGGAAGAAGGCCUUCGGGUUGUAAACUGCUUUUGUCAGGGAAGAAAUCCUCUAGGUUAAUACCCUUGGGGGGAUGACGGUACCUGAAGAAUAAGCACCGGCUAACUACGUGCCAGCAGCCGCCGUAAAAC
rnacentral:rRNA from 1 species